rnacentral:tRNA from 8 species
GGGCCCGUAGCUCAGCCUGGAUAGAGCGGCGGCCUUCUAAGCCGUAGGUCGUGGGUUCAAAUCCCAUCGGGCCCGCCA